UCCGUAGGCGGGCAAGCAAGUCGGUGGUGAAAGUUCACGGCUCAACCGUGAAAUUGCCUUCGAUACUGUUUGUCUUGAGUUCGAGAGAGGAUGAUGGAAUUCAUGGUGUAGCGGUGAAAUGCGUAGAGAUCAUGAAGAACACCAGUAGCGAAGGCGGUCAUCUGGCUCGAUACUGACGCUCAGGGACGAAAGCGUGGGUAGCAAACA
rnacentral:rRNA from 1 species